CAGUCGCCACGGGAAUACGGAGGGUGCAAGCGUUAAUCGGAAUUACUGGGCGUAAAGCGUGCGUAGGUGGUGGUUUAAGUCCGUUGUGAAAGCCCUGGGCUCAACCUGGGAAUUGCAGUGGAUACUGGGUCACUAGAGUGUGGUAGAGGAUAGUGGAAUUUCCGGUGUAGCAGUGAAAUGCGUAGAGAUCGGAAGGAACAUCUGUGGCGAAGGCGACUAUCUGGGCCAACACUGACACUGAGGCACGAAAGCGUGGGGAGCAAACAGGAUUAGAUACCCCUGUAGUCCCUGUCUCUUAUAA
rnacentral:rRNA from 1 species